ACAAACCAUAUUGGUAUUAUUUUUAGCAUGCUCUGGAGUGAAAUACAAUAACUACGGAAUGAUGUUUAAAUAAUUUGUGUUUUGGUUCGGCGAUGAGUUUUUUUCUUUUAUUUCUUUCUAGGUUCAGUUUGGAACCAACCUUCUAAGUAACUGGAAUUUGAUUUAUAAUAUUAGGUUAGUGAUUGCAUUGUAAAAGAUUGGCUUAUGUUAUUUGACCCUUG
rnacentral:lncRNA from 1 species